rnacentral:RNase_P_RNA from 1 species
UGAGUCGGCCGGGUGACCGCGGCGCGCGAGCGUCGAGGAAAGUCCGGACUCCACAGGGCAAGGUGGUGGGUAACGCCCACCCGGGGUGACCCGCGGGACAGUGCCACAGAAAACAGACCGCCCCUUCGGGGGUAAGGGUGAAACGGCGGUGUAAGAGACCACCAGCAUCCCCGGUGACGGGGGUGGCUCGGUAAACCCCACCUGGAGCAAGACCAAGAAGGGCUUCGGCCCGCGGACGCCGUCCGAGCGCUGCCCGCGCGAGGCGUCCGGGUAGGUCGCACGGCAUCACCGGCGCACGCGCCGGCGGACCGAAGGCGGCUGGCAACAGCCGUCGCAGAUGGAUGGUCACCCGUUCUUCGUGAACGACAGAAUCCGGCUUACAGGCCGGCUCAUCCC